UGGGACAUCCUUUUCUCUCCCUGGGUCUGUGUCCCCGUCGCUACAUCCCAGCCUGGAGGGCAUGGCCCAGCGGUUGCAUAGGUCCCUCGGUUUCUGCAGAGCCCGGGAGUCACCCUAUUUUGGUAAAUCCUUUGAUGUCCCCAGCCACAAUCUCUUCCACUUCCAGCCACUUGAGUCACUUCCGCUGUAUCUGUUUUUCACCAUCUUUGGGUUUCCUGUCCAUUGCUGUCUCCGCUUUCCCCCUCGAUAUCAAUCUGCUUCUUCCCUAUCCUGGCCCAUUACCUCGGCAUUCUCAAAAGGAUCCUCCCUGCCCGAGUCCUACUCUCCUUCCAUCUGAUGAAACCUGAAGCCAAACCAGUCCACCUACACACGGGUAUUGAAGAAGUCUUGGCCAGCCACACACCUUGGUGUAACAGAAACACGAGGUGAAUUGCUCCUCCAUGGGUCGUGAAAGAAGAUCAUGUCAGUGGUGGUGUUUCUGCUCGUCUCAGAAGGGAAGUCUGUGACCCGUGGGAGUUGCUGGGGAGGGCCUGGUCUGGGCCAGGCCUCUUCUUUGGGUUGCCCCCUCACACACUCUGGUCAUCCAGGAAGCCUCUGUGGCCCUCGGAAUGUGUAAAAGAUGGUGGUUUUAGGAGCUGCUGGUUUUGCAACUGAGUGCUGACGGCUUAUUUCUUGUUAAUGAUUCUGUCAAAAGUGUCUUAGCGAUGCUCUUCAGCCCUUCAUCACCCACCCAAAAAAGAUUAAAGUGGAUUCUUCAUCAGCUAUUUUAAAAUCACCUAAGAAUUAUACAAUCCUUUGGAGAAUCAA
rnacentral:lncRNA from 1 species